rnacentral:rRNA from 1 species
UACGUAGGGUGCAAGCGUUGUCCGGAAUUACUGGGCGUAAAGCGCGUGUAGGUGGUGGGACAAGUCUGCUGUGAAAGCGCCUGGCUUAACCGGGCGAGGUCGGCGGAAACUGUCCGACUAGAGGACGGUAGAGGGGGGUGGAAUUCCCGGUGUAGUGGUGAAAUGCGUAGAGAUCGGGAAGAACAUCGGUGGCGAAAGCGCUCUACUGGACCGCAACUGACACUGAGGGACGAAAGCUAGGGGAGCGAAUGGG